CGGGGGUGGGGUGGGGUGGGGAGACGCAGUGCAGCAGGCCCCCCUGAGUCACAGUGCAGACUUGUUCAAGGUUGUGGCCACCAAGCAACUGGCUGUCUCGAAGUGUGGAUGGAUGAAAAGUAUUCGGGUGUGUCUGGUAGGGAACAUAUCUUCUGGCACCUGAGGAUACCGACGUUCCUUCGGGCACUUGUUUCAGUGUCUCAAUGGCACUGGGCUUCACCUUAAUACCACUCUACCACGCACACGGUCAUCUGGUGUUCUCUCGGUGUUCUAACUCACAAGGAAAGCAUUUUAGAGUUAAGGAUUACUUCUGGAAAAGAAUCCAAGAACUUCCUAAUAAGUGCUGAACACAGAGUCCAGUGUGUCCUCAAUCACAUGGGAAAUUUGGUGCCACCGGCUGAAGCCUCAGUCUACAGAAGGAACCUGCACCUCUCAGACACUGGCAGUGAUGAAGAGACCUGACUUUCUUUGCUCUCUAAGCCAUUGCCGUGGCCUGGAGAAGAAAAUAGAAGAACAAGUAAUGCAGAGACAUGUGUUGCCUGUGGCCUGGAAGGCAGACUCCAGGAGCAGGAGAGAAGAGCCUCAGCAAGUGCAUGUGAACGUGCCUGCAAGCCUUUAAUACCCUCCACCCGUGCUCCCAAGAAAGCUGCUGCUGUUGCUGCUUCUAGAUUUAUUUAUUUUUAUUUAUAUGCGCACACAAGUAGCUGUCUUCAGACACACACCAGGAGAGUGCAUUGGACCCCAUUACAGAUGGUUGUGAGCCACCAUGGUUGCUGGGAAUUGAACUCAGGACCUCUGGAAGUGUAAUCAGUGCUCUUAACCACUGAGCCACCUCUCCAGCCCAAGAAAGCACCUUCCAAACAGCAGUUCCCGAUUGGCUGGUAUUGUCUGCACCACCAAUCCUUGGUCUCUCCCAAAGUCCUCAAUUGGGUCCUCCUGUAGAUGCUUUUGCAGCUGGCUGAG
rnacentral:lncRNA from 1 species